rnacentral:antisense_RNA from 1 species
UCAGCGCGCGCGCCCAGCUGAUCAAUGCCUGCGAGGCCCGGCAGUCCCAGGCUCGCCCCGGCCCGGCCGCCGGCCCGCGCGCACCUGCAGCCGCUGCACGUCUUAAGUUUCGAAACAGUCCCCCUCUCCGCCCUGGGGGAGCCGGGGAGGAUGUGCAGCCCCACUCCUCCUGCUCGGCGGAGCCUCGCGCGCGCAGAGCCUAGCGCGAUUCGCGCCCUCAUUACCACUACAAAGCGCGGGCCAGACCAAUCCCCUUUCUAAUGCACCAUUUUCGAAUGAGAACAUCAAGAGGCCAGAAACUUCCAAGUCAGCUUGCAGACGCAGACGCCUCCUGGGGUCCUGGCUUUAAGAACCAGAUGCCAACAUUCCCGGACAGUUUAUGGCAUCCGGAUCCCUCAAGGGUGCUCAUCUGCAGUUGAGAGUGUUAGUAGCAAUUAUUUAUCAUCUCUCCUGGAGAGGAGUUCCUGAACGUAAAUGUCCUCUGCUGGCCCUAAAGCUGUGUUGUGGGGUGGGGGUUGGG